rnacentral:rRNA from 1 species
GAGCGGCGGACGGGUGAGUAAUGCCUAGGGAAUUGCCUUGAUGAGGGGGAUAACCAUUGGAAACGAUGGCUAAUACCGCAUAAUGCCUACGGGCCAAAGAGGGGGAUCUUCGGACCUCUCGCGUCAAGAUAUGCCUAGGUGGGAUUAGCUAGUUGGUGAGGUAAUGGCUCACCAAGGCGACGAUCCCUAGCUGGUCUGAGAGGAUGAUCAGCCACACUGGAACUGAGACACGGUCCAGACUCCUACGGGAGGCAGCAGUGGGGAAUAUUGCACAAUGGGCGAAAGCCUGAUGCAGCCAUGCCGCGUGUAUGAAGAAGGCCUUCGGGUUGUAAAGUACUUUCAGUUGUGAGGAAGGGGGUAACGUUAAUAGCGUUAUCUCUUGACGUUAGCAACAGAAGAAGCACCGGCUAACUCCGUGCCAGCAGCCGCGGUAAUACGGAGGGUGCGAGCGUUAAUCGGAAUUACUGGGCGUAAAGCGCAUGCAGGUGGUUCAUUAAGUCAGAUGUGAAAGCCCGGGGCUCAACCUCGGAACUGCAUUUGAAACUGGUGAACUAGAGUGCUGUAGAGGGGGGUAGAAUUUCAGGUGUAGCGGUGAAGUGCGUAGAGAUCUGAAGGAAUACCAGUGGCGAAGGCGGCCCCCUGGACAGACACUGACACUCAGAUGCGAAAGCGUGGGGAGCAAACAGGAUUAGAUACCUUGGUAGUCCACGCCGUAAACGAUGUCUACUUGGAGGUUGUGGCCUUGAGCCGUGGCUUUCGGAGCUAACGCGUUAAGUAGACCGCCUGGGGAGUACGGUCGCAAGAUUAAAACUCAAAUGAAUUGACGGGGGCCCGCACAAGCGGUGGAGCAUGUGGUUUAAUUCGAUGCAACGCGAAGAACCUUACCUACUCUUGACAUCCAGAGAAGCCAGCGGAGACGCAGGUGUGCCUUCGGGAACUCUGAGACAGGUGCUGCAUGGCUGUCGUCAGCUCGUGUUGUGAAAUGUUGGGUUAAGUCCCGCAACGAGCGCAACCCUUAUCCUUGUUUGCCAGCGAGUAAUGUCGGGAACUCCAGGGAGACUGCCGGUGAUAAACCGGAGGAAGGUGGGGACGACGUCAAGUCAUCAUGGCCCUUACGAGUAGGGCUACACACGUGCUACAAUGGCGCAUACAGAGGGCAGCAAGCUAGCGAUAGUGAGCGAAUCCCAAAAAGUGCGUCGUAGUCCGGAUUGGAGUCUGCAACUCGACUCCAUGAAGUUCGAAUCGCUAGUAAUCGCGGAUCAGAAUGUCACGGUGAA